UUAACUAGCUCUGCUUUAUAAAUUGGCCAGAAAAAAAAGCAUUCAAAAUAUAAUCUUCUGAUGGAUAUCAUUCAUGAGUUUUGCCAAACAAAGAAUGCAUAGGCCUACAUUAAAUAAUAAUAAUAAUAAUAAUAAUAAUAAUAAUAAUAAUAAUAAUAAUAAUAAUAAUACGGUUAAACUACAAACAGAUCUUCCAAGUAUCACAAAGCAUAAGGGUGAUACACUACAUUAGACAGUGUAUCAGUAGGUGUAACAUUUACCGACAUCAGAUCAGUAAUCGGCUAGUAUGUAACUUUUUUAAAAACUUUGGCAAAGGGUUCACUGAUAUUACAGCUGACGCAAUAUAUCAUUGCAAGGAAAUGCAUUUCAUUCAUAAGUUUGUGUAAGUAGCUAACAGUCAAAACAAACAAAACAAUAACAAUGAAAAGUCUUACCUGUGUUAGUAAAUUCUGUUCCUUUAACGAGAGCACAUACAAAGCUGCAGACUCCUUUCUUCGUCCAUUUCUUGUCGUGGGAUCAUCGACUACGACUGGACCACUAAUAGUAGCAUUGAUAUUAACGUACUCAUCGGCCGUGGUCGUAAUUUCCCUAUCUCCCUCUGUACUUGUGCCUUGGCAAUCAGUAGUCGGUGGUGGUCCCCCUGUUCGGUACAACUGGGCAUGACAUUUAGUUACAUGCCUGUAAAAGCUGUCAUACUUAUCGUACGUUUUGGGGCAUUGGUUUAUAUUACAGGUAAUAUGAAAAUUUGGUUCAUUUGAGUGUAUAUUAUUUAUAUGACCCAAUAGCACUUUCAGUGUCAAAGCAAUGAAAAUAUGACAAAUUAAACAUCGCCAAGUCAGUCGAUGGUUUUCCAUUUUGCCUCUUGAAGAAGUGUCGUGAGGGAUGCUCGGGACAGGUUCACGCGCAUACUUCUAAGCGCGCCAAGCACGAGCAAGAAUUCUGAAGAGGAGACGUUUAGUUUUUUUUGACAAAAGCAAAGGUAACCAACGAAGAUGGUUGACCCACGAUCAGCGGUUAAGAGAAUGUCGACUGAUACUCUUCAAAACUGGGUUACUCAAACUGCUGUCAAUAUUUCUCUCUCAAAAAACGAAGACGACCCUAGGGUAAUUGCAGACCUUAUUGGGGGUAAGUAACUUCCAACGCAUGCUUGAAUUAGCUUUCGAAAAAUUUACUGCACACAGAUAAUUAACGUUAGCACAUACACUUGAAGAUCACCCUUAGGCAUAGUUGGGUUUAGAUAUUAUGUUAUUUAUGUUAUUUAAGCGUUAAUGAGAAGGGGUAAGGGCAUCUGCAAAGAAAAUAAAUACUAUUACUACUACUAAAUAAUAAUAAUAAUAAUAAUAAUAAUAAUAAUAAUGAGAAGCGGGGAGAUCCUUACUGACAAGAAGCCUGUAUGUGACAGGCAUAAGCUAUCUGAGGGCAUUUGGACUGACACAUUAACACUAUAAUAAACCUAUUUCGUGAAAACAGUACGAGCGUUAUUAUUGUUGUGAGUUAACUAAAUAUACUUACAAAUAGUGUAUUUGGGUGCUGUGUCAUUACACAGGGUACAUAUUGGAACAUCCAGUUCAAACUCAGAAUUCCAUAACGACAUGUAAGGUCUACACAGUACUCUUUACAAUACUUAAUACUUAAACUUAUUACUUUACAACACUUACUGAAACUUAAUACUUUACAACUGACAUAUAUGUGGUAGGCAUACAUUUUAGGAUUAAUAUGCAUCUUAAGCUUUGUUUAGUACUGUACUCAAGUUUAAAAAUAAUUAUUGUUUAUUUUAUAAUGCAUUGAAAUCCUUUGUUUCAGCUGCUGAGAUUGAUGGGUCAGAUUUUGUAUCACUAAAUGAACCUGAAAUAGCAGAUUUAAUUCCAGUUAAAACUCCAAGAUUCUUCCACCUCAGAAAAUAUCUGCGUACACUACUGAAUUACUUGAAUCCCACUCAAAAUAACACACCUUUAGGAUCAACAUCAAAGAAACAAGAAAUAACCAAAGAUGGGCCCUGCUUAUCAUCAGCUGCGUACACCUUGACUGAAAUCACAGUGGCUGAAAAAGUUAAGAAGCCACAGUGUUUUGCACAGACUGCAGUUCAACCUUAUUAUCCCGUUCUAUGGUUACCUGCACUGGAAGAAAAGCAAAGGGAACUAAUAAGAGAAAAAGACAUUGUUUAUGGGUGUGUGCAACAAGUUGCAAACAUGUUUCACAUUGCAAGAGCCAUCAAUCUGAAGAAUACCCCAUCAUUACACGACGUUGAAGAAAUGGCCAAGCGCUUUGUGAAAAAAUAUCCAUGUACUGCAGACGAAAAAGAAGAUGCAAAUGGAAAUAACUAUGCAAGUAUUUUUUAAUUCAAAACAUUUUCUUAAGGAAUUAAAUUAUGCUAAUGCCACAUAUCCUAAAGUAUUGUAAAACAGUGUAUUGUCACCUUGUUUAAAUCAGUUGUAUUUUGCCUUGCCUUCAGAUGAUUUAUGGUCAUUUUGAUCUGCCAACAUGGUCUUACUCGUAAAAAUGUUAAUUCAGAAAUUUCUUCAAAAGUGUUUUAUACAGGACUGUAUAACUGUGGUAACAUUUUCUGACUUGUAACCUCCAAACUCCACUUAAAUAGUUGGGCCUGCUUACAGUUUUUAAGUAAUUUAAGUAAUAUGGUCAACUCUAAGUUAAGAAUGGUAAAGAACGUUAUUUUGAUGUUAGUAUUUUUUUUUAUUUUUAUUUUUUAAACUACAAAAACAUGCCAAGUCACUUUUAAACAUGUUGCUGUUAUAAUGUUUUGCUAGAGAGCAGGCUGCAUCUGCGGGUUAUUAUUAUUAUUAUUAUUAUUAUUAUUAUUAUAAUUAUUAUUAUUAUUAUUAUUAUUUUAAUAGUACAGUGUCUUGGAUAAAAUGCAAAGAAAGGUCUACAACAUGAGGUAUGAAAACAAAAAGGCUCAAACAGCUAAACCAGGCCAGAAAAGGAAAACAUAUGUAGAACAUUCUUCAACAAAGGUAGGGUUGAAGAGUAUCACCAAGAAAAUAAAAAAAAUACAUACAUGAAGAUUUACAAAGCAUUCUAACUGCAAAUAAAAUGAUAAAAACAUAUCACAAUUUUUUAUGGUAGAAAUUUACAUCUAGAGUGACGAUGGAAGUAGCAUUUUCUUUUCUUUUUUGAGAUUCUGAAACAAUAUUCUACAUUAAAACAAUGUAUGAUCUGUACUGUUUUUCUUUACCUCAAUGAUGUAAUUACAUUUUCCACUUUUUAUAUAUUUUUUUUAUUUAGAAAACACAGCAUACUUUGCAUGAAGAUGUUUCUGUGAAAAUACAACCACAAAGUACAGAAGAAAAUGACGGAGAUUACGUAACACAAACAACCGCAGCACAGCUUCAGAAAAAGCUUAAAGAUGAGCUGUUAAGGAAAAGUCCCCGUUAUGAGGUUGUUAAGCAACUUCUUGACCUUGACUUUCCUGAACGGAAACACUUUAUAAAGACUGUCAAAGGAGAUGUUAGGCUCAUAUUGGAAAAGUAUAGCUGCUUUCAUCAGCCUAAUCAUUUGCAGGAUGAGAUGAGCAGACAUCUGCAAAAAUCAUUGGAAGGGUUAAAAGCAAAAUGGGAACUUGAGGUCAACAUUAUCUUGAAGUACGGAGAAGAGAAAAAGCUUUUGAACAUUAGCCUUGCAUGGUCACUUGAGAAGAAGACAAGUGAGGCUCUACAGAUCCUGCCAGAUCUCUUUGCUGCAGGAAAAUCUGCACCAACUGGCUUAAAAAAGAGUGAGAUGCUACUGCAGUUUGUGGACGACCUGGAAAAAAAGGAAGAGGCCAUGCAGAAAAGCAAAAAGAGGGAAGUCUGGCUGUUGGGUGUGCCAUCACACAGAAAAUGUUUUGUUUUAAUUAAAGGGCAGCCCCUUUGUGAACUAAAUUCAAUGGUAGAGGCAUUUUUCACUUUGCUUAGUGCCAGCUACACAUUUUCAGUCUGCUACCAUGAGUGUGUAGGACCAGCAAUGAUGUGGUUGGAGUCAGCAUUCCUUGGAGAUGAGAGGGUAAACACCAAGGACAUGACCUCAUGCAAGAAGUCAAUUCAAAGUUAUUUAGAUUUCAAGGAAAAGCUCACAAGUCCAUGUUGCAGUUUCUGGUAAGGGGGGUUAUACAGUAUCAUUUAUAAUUAUACUUAAGCGAUACAGCCCUCUGACGCAGUCUUUAACGUUUGAUAGGUGACCACGACUGGAGUUAUGCGUCCUGAUCCAAAGGCGAGGGCGCUAACGAAAGACAAGGCCAUCUGUCAAAUGUAAGAGCCCGCAUAGAGAGAUUUUCAGACAAUGGCUAAUGGACAUCACAAAAACAUAUCUGUCCAACAUAAUUGCAUGUUUCACUGCAUGUUUUUUACUGUAUGUUCAAAUGUAUUAUUUUUAUAUUGGGUUUAAAAGAGUAGAAAAAUAUGUUAAAUCAGUUUGAUUAUAAUAUAUUAGCAUGUAGAUUGUAGUAUUUUUACAAAUGAGGUUUUAAUUUAAUUGUAUGUAAGGUACAAAAUAUUUA